CCCUUAGAUGUUCUGGGCCGCACGCGCGCUACACUGAUGCAUUCAACGAGCCUAGCCUUGACCGAGAGGUCCGGGUAAUCUUUGAAACUGCAUCGUGAUGGGGCUAGAUUAUUGCAAUUAUUAAUCUUCAACGAGGAAUGCCUAGUAAGCGUGAUUCAUCAAAUCGCGUUGAUUACGUCCCUGCCCUUUGUACACACCGCCCGUUGCUCCUACCGAUUGAGUGUGUUGGUGAGGAGUUUGGAUUGGCCUCGGAAGGUGGUUCGCCACCGUCCGUAGCUGAGAAGUUCUCCAAACCGCCCCACUUAGAGGAAGGAGAAGUCGUAACA
rnacentral:rRNA from 1 species